AAUGUUCUUAUUUUGACUUACAAAUUUACAAAAUUCGUCUAUGGAAGUGAUCGAUUGCAGAGCUUAAUAAUCUUUAAUUUUUUUUUAUAAAAUCCAUUGCCCAGUAGUUUUUUAUUGUGAUUUUUACUUUUUUGUCAAACAAAACAAAAAAAAGUAACAUUAACGGCAAAAAACGUAAUGUUCCGCAUGAUAACACAAGACAGUUGCAUAAAUAGAUAAUAACGACAAUGUAACUAGUUUACACGAUAUCGACAGAUAACAGCAUUCUCUUUUUACCCUCUUGAAAAAAUGUUUCGUAAAAUCCAGCUGUGUAUUCUGUUUAUAACCAAUAUAAGUUUAGGAGAACAACUAGAUGAAAAUGAUCUAAGAAAAAAGAUCUUUUUUGAGGAAGUUGUUGAACCUAGAAACAUCAGAAUUACAGGAAAACAUUGAAAAAUCUAAUUUUGUUUUUGUAAACAUUUUUAAUGAAGCCAUUUUUUCGGAUUUAAGGAAAAAAUCAUAAAUGACAUUGAAAAAGGGUUUGUAGUAACUGAAAAA